UACUAGAGAGCUUGAUAUAGCACUUGACUUUUAAUCAAGAGAUAAUAAUUUAUAUUUCUAGUUA
rnacentral:tRNA from 1 species